rnacentral:rRNA from 1 species
UACGUAGGGGGCAAGCGUUGUCCGGAUUUAUUGGGCGUAAAGAGCGUGUAGGCGGUCAGGUAGGUCCGUUGUGAAAACUCGAGGCUCAACCUCGAGACGCCGAUGGAAACCAUCUGACUAGAGUCCGGAAGAGGAGAGUGGAAUUCCGAGUGUAGAGGUGAAAUUCGUAGAUAUUCGGAAGAACACCAGUGGCGAAGGCGACUUACUGGACACAUAUUGACGCUGAGGUGCGAAAGCGUGGGGAGCAAACAGG